rnacentral:rRNA from 1 species
CGCCUGUUUAUCAAAAACAUGUCUUUUUGAAGUAUAAUUUAAAGUCUGGUCUGCCCACUGAUAAAUAAUUAAAGGGCUGCAGUAUAUUGACUGUACAAAGGUAGCAUAAUCAUUAGUCUUUUAAUUGGUGACUUGUAUGAAUGAUCGGAUAAAAUAUAAGCUGUCUCUAGAUAAAUUUAUAGAAUUUAAUUUUUUAUUUAAAAAGUUAAAAUGAUUUUAAAAGACGAGAAGACCCUAUAGAGUUUAAUAUUUAUUUAAAUUGAAAUUAUAUAUAUUAACUUUAAUUAAAAAUUAAAUAUUUAUUUUAUUGGGGUGAUAAAAAAAUUAAUUAAACUUUUCUUAAAAUUUAACAUAAAUAAUUGAAUAUUUGAUCCAAUUUUUUUGAUUAUAAGAUUAAAUUACCUUAGGGAUAACAGCGUAAUUUUUUUUUUUAGUUCUUAUAAAAAAAAAAGUUUGCGACCUCGAUGUUGGAUUAAGAUAAAAUUUAAAUGCAAAAGUUUAAAAUUUUGAUCUGUUCGAUCAUUAAAAUCUUACAUGAUCUGAGUUCAAACCGGAG